GUCACUUUUUAGCAAGAUGACCAUGCGGUCGGCUCAUCGGCUAACACGAGCUUUCGACGAAAUACAAAUAGCAGAACUUCUUAAUAAUUCGGAGUUCGAAGACUCGGAUGAUGAAGAUGUGCCUGACCUGACCUCCCUGACCUAACCUAAACCUGUCCUCGGAAUCUGAAGGUGGAGAAACAGAAAUCGCUGUAAGUGGAGGUGGAUCUACUCGUCGUACUCAAAGUGCUCGUGACCACCGAGUUGGACGUGGCCGUGGUAGAAGUACAAGUACAAGGGCACGACAUAUCGGGCAUAGUGCCUGUACCAUCAAAAAUGCGACGCUUAUAUGGCAAUAUCCACUUACCGGAACAUCUAGACAAACAACAACGAGGCCAUCUCUCUGGGUGUGACAAAAGGAGUUUAUUUAAAUGCUCUGACUGUAAUGUAGCUAUUUGCCUAAACUCAACCAGAAAUUGUUGCAGGGCCUUUCAUCGACAAGAGAAUUAAUAAUAAGAAAUAAAAAGUGAUUUUGAAAUAAGAUAUCAAUUAAACUAGCAAGUAAGGAAGAUUGUUAUGUCUUCUAUCCUAUUUCGAUAAUUAAGAAUAGUGAUACUGUUAUCCUCUGGUUUAUAAAAGUAAAUUAUGCUAAUAUUGUCUUUGA